CAGACAGAGGCUCCGCAAGACGAAGUCCGUAGACUACUACUGCGUAUAUUCAUGUAUCGACCGCAUGUCGACCCAACCGAUAUUUCGAAAAAAGGAGGCUCGCCUAUCAGAGCAAUUGUUCGCUGGAUUCAGCUCGCCUCAUCUGCAGUACUAGUAUCCAAGCGCCAUCGUGCAUGCUGGCUGGGCACAUGCAGAAUAACGCAUGUGCAGUACAGAAGUUAACGAGAUGUCAUCACUCCUAAACUACCUACCUACCUAACUAACUAAACCACAUACGCAGUGGAAAGUAAUCCGUAGCUUGCAACGCCCCUCUGCGUUGUGAUUCGAUGCAAGCAUAGGCCAUUAUUUUUAUCUUGUUUUGAUCCUUUGAUCUGUUUUUUGUUUUCCGUGCCCUGCCCGGCCUGCAACUUCUCCGCUUAGAAGGAAUAAACGAGAUGAGAAGAACAAGCACAUCUCUCUCUGCGUUGUGAUCCAUGCCAAGUAAAAGCCACAUAAGGGGAUGAUGGAUGGAUGAUUUGGCCAUCAUGAACCAAGUUCGCCAUGCUUUUUCUCUUCCCCGCACUCACCGGCGUGCUCACCGGGCCCUCAUGUCUUUUCUCCCUCAUUAUGCAUUUAAUUUCUGAUCUUUGAACCUUUCUCUCUCUCUCUCUUUUUUUUUUCGUUUUGUGUGUGUUAGGAAUCCAUAAACCUGCAUAGUAGUACUUGGGGCCCUGUGUGAGCAGAAGCUUCGAGGGUUGUUCGUAACAUGAUCAUCCAGAUAUGCGGGCGGGAUUUACUCCAAGCGGCUGGCUCGUCAAUCCAGCAACAAAUGAUGCUCCCUCUCUCGUCUCGUCUGCAAGUAGGAAAUGCAUUCUUAGUCCAGAAGUGGAGGAAAGACAAGAGGAAAAAGAAAAGAAAAGAAAAGAAAUAAAUAGAUAAAAUGCCUCGUUUUAACGGGCGGAUUCUCCCGCUCCCUUCGUCUGUGUUUCUGUGUUUUUUUUUUCUUUUCAAGUUCUUUCAUUUCCCGCUUCUCUCUGUCGUGGGUCACAUAGAAGGGAUUUGUUUUUGUUCUUGGUUGCGGGUUUUUGUCUGAUGCCAUAGAUAUACUAUCCAAAGACAAGCAGGCUAGCCACGCGGAUCGACAGACCAUGAUAUGAUCCCAUACGUACUAUGGAGAGCGAGAACAGCCUGCUGCUGUAUUGUUGAAUGUUGCCGCUAUGCUCGAUCUAAUUUAGCGGUGGCGUCAACGAAGCUCAAUCCCUGCGUGCCUGGCUCAGGUUGAUUUAGGUUUACUGGUCGUCGAUCCUGGUGCCUUGCUGAUGAUGAGGAGAUCUCACCUGAAGGCUAACUAUUUUGCAAACCUUCCGAUGAGCUGGACAGAGCGGAGGACUUGAUCUUAUACCAAAGGUUGAUACUACUAUGUAUGUAUGUAGAGUACCUUAAGAAGCAGCUCUUAUCUCGGUGCUCGAUGAUAAUACCGUUCAAGGGAAUAAAUAAAGAAAUAAAGAAAUAAGUAGUUAGUUUAACGUCCAGGAACGGUGCUGUCAAUAUCAAAACAAAGCGAAAAACGAACCAAGCAUGUUUCGAUCUGGACAACACCUCAACCCGUAUACACCCUUGCUUCCAUAGCCCAUCACCACCGUACAACGCACACGGCACAGGGAUGGGCGAUAGGAAUCCGCCGGC
rnacentral:sRNA from 1 species